rnacentral:ncRNA from 1 species
CGACGAUGGCCGUGAGGCCAGCGGAGCGAGAAGUCAGCAGAGGCCAUAGUAGUUUUGUCGAAGCCUUGGCGGCUGCAGGACGAAAGGC